AGUGAACGCUGGCGGUAGGCCUAACACAUGCAAGUCGAACGGCAGCACAGUAGGAGCUUGCUCUUACGGGUGGCGAGUGGCGGACGGGUGAGGAAUACAUCGGAAUCUACUUUUUCGUGGGGGAUAACGUAGGGAAACUUACGCUAAUACCGCAUACGACCUACGGGUGAAAGCAGGGGAUCUUCGGACCUUGCGCGAUUGAAUGAGCCGAUGUCGGAUUAGCUAGUUGGCGGGGUAAAGGCCCACCAAGGCGUCGAUCCGUAGCUGGUCUGAGAGGAUGAUCAGCCACACUGGAACUGAGACACGGUCCAGACUCCUACGGGAGGCAGCAGUGGGGAAUAUUGGACAAUGGGCGCAAGCCUGAUCCAGCCAUACCGCGUGGGUGAAGAAGGCCUUCGGGUUGUAAAGCCCUUUUGUUGGGAAAGAAAAGCAGCAGGUUAAUACCCCGCUGUUCUGACGGUACCCAAAGAAUAAGCACCGGCUAACUUCGUG
rnacentral:rRNA from 1 species